rnacentral:rRNA from 1 species
AUUGAACGCUGGCGGCAUGCUUUACACAUGCAAGUCGAACGGCAGCGCGGGCUUCGGCCUGGCGGCGAGUGGCGAACGGGCGAGUAAUGCAUCGGAACGUGCCCAGUAGUGGGGGAUAGCCCGGCGAAAGCCGGAUUAAUACCGCAUACGACCAGAGGGUGAAAGCGGGGGACCGAAAGGCCUCGCGCUAUUGGAGCGGCCGAUGUCGGAUUAGCUAGUUGGUGGGGUAAAGGCUUACCAAGGCGACGAUCCGUAGCUGGUCUGAGAGGACGACCAGCCACACUGGAACUGAGACACGGCCCAGACUCCUACGGGAGGCAGCAGUGGGGAAUAUUGGACAAUGGGGGCAAGCCUGAUCCAGCCAUGCCGCGUGCGGGAAGAAGGCCUUCGGGUUGUAAAGCGCUUUUGUUCGGGAAGAAAUCCUCUGGGCUAAUACCCCGGGGGGAUGACGGUACCGGAAGAAUAAGCACCGGCUAACUACGUG